AGUUUUUUUAGGCAGUUUUCUUACCAUUGUAAAAGUGAUAGUUUCUCCACAUAGGGGACUAUUACGGUUUAUUAUUUUUGAUGCAUUUCAGAUUCAAUUGUAAGGGUUAUUCAUUUCCAAAGCUUGCCGGAAUUAUUUUAAUCAAAGAUUCAAGAUUCAGUUCCAGUUCUUAAAUUGCAAUCCAGGUUUUAUUUUGAUUACUGUUUUAUUUAUUUAUGCCUUAUUGUAUGUUUAAUUCCCCAAUCACCAUGUCUGUUACCGGAUCCAUGUCCGGCUAAACCCUUAGGUAUCGGUAUGUAAAGACCGUCGAAAC
rnacentral:lncRNA from 1 species